UAAUACAUGCAAGUCGAACGCUUCUUUUUCCACCGGAGCUUGCUCCACCGGAAAAAGAGGAGUGGCGAACGGGUGAGUAACACGUGGGUAACCUGCCCAUCAGAAGGGGAUAACACUUGGAAACAGGUGCUAAUACCGUAUAACAAUCAAAACCGCAUGGUUUUGAUUUGAAAGGCGCUUUCGGGUGUCGCUGAUGGAUGGACCCGCGGUGCAUUAGCUAGUUGGUGAGGUAACGGCUCACCAAGGCCACGAUGCAUAGCCGACCUGAGAGGGUGAUCGGCCACAUUGGGACUGAGACACGGCCCAAACUCCUACGGGAGGCAGCAGUAGGGAAUCUUCGGCAAUGGACGAAAGUCUGACCGAGCAACGCCGCGUGAGUGAAGAAGGUUUUCGGAUCGUAAAACUCUGUUGUUAGAGAAGAACAAGGAUGAGAGUAACUGUUCAUCCCUUGACGGUAUCUAACCAGAAAGCCACGGCUAACUACGUGCCAGCAGCCGCGGUAAUACGUAGGUGGCAAGCGUUGUCCGGAUUUAUUGGGCGUAAAGCGAGCGCAGGCGGUUUCUUAAGUCUGAUGUGAAAGCCCCCGGCUCAACCGGGGAGGGUCAUUGGAAACUGGGAGACUUGAGUGCAGAAGAGGAGAGUGGAAUUCCAUGUGUAGCGGUGAAAUGCGUAGAUAUAUGGAGGAACACCAGUGGCGAAGGCGGCUCUCUGGUCUGUAACUGACGCUGAGG
rnacentral:rRNA from 1 species